UACGAAGGGGGCUAGCGUUGCUCGGAAUCACUGGGCGUAAAGGGCGCGUAGGCGGCCUUGUAAGUUGGGGGUGAAAGCCCGUGGCUCAACCACGGAAUUGCCUACGAUACUGCUUGGCUUGAGACCGGAAGAGGUGAGUGGAACUGCGAGUGUAGAGGUGAAAUUCGUAGAUAUUCGCAAGAACACCAGUGGCGAAGGCGGCUCACUGGUCCGGAUCUGACGCUGAGGCGCGAAAGCGUGGGGAGCAAACAGG
rnacentral:rRNA from 1 species